AAUAUUUCUCAGAUUUGAAGCCCUUGUACAGGUCUCUCGAUGCCUUGAGAAGUACCAGAUAAGUGCAGUUGUCUAUUGUGUUGAUCAAGAACAGGGCAGGGGCGUUUAGAACAUGUGUGCACAAAUUACUGUCAGGUGACCUAUUUGGAUGAACCUGGUACUUUUCAGCAAUAUGAAAUGCAUAGCUGCAUAGCUGCACUGCAUCUUGAUGAGCGAAUCGAUGAUUUAUGUUGAAUGUAUUGAAGAUGGAUAAUGGUGCUAAGAUGUUGUAAAAGAAAAUUUGGUAAUGUCCGAGCUGAAACUUAUUCAUAUCCUCUUUACAGUUUGAAUAACUGUAGUCCUGCCAGUAUCUUAACAAAACUAUUGAUUCGGUUGUCAGGUGUACUUGCCUGUAUCUAAUAGUGAUUUUCCCAUUUUUACUUUGUAGAUUUCAGUUGAAAAUUAGUUUAUGCCAAGCUGCUACAACGUUUGAUAAAUUAAGAUGUCAAGUUGUAUUAUAUGGUCCCUGGUAUAUGCUAACACCGCGAUUGCCUUGCCUCUUCUAAAUCCUUUUUAUUUUCUAUCAUUGGCUAACUUCUUUUCUUUUGCUACGAUGAAAAGCUUGGAGAGCAAGGGCGUUGUUUUUCAGAUGCAUCGAUUGUGGCAACCAAAUAAAUAACUACCCAACAAAGCAAGUGUCCUGGAAAUGCCCAGUGGAAAGCAUGAGAAGGAAAAGACAAUGAAAAGCAACCAAGAAAUUAUUCGCGUGUGGAACAUUGCCAGGUCAAAACCCCCAAGACUUACUACAACCGAAUAAGAGAAAUUUCUGGUAGCCACACUGACUCUGAAUUAUUCUCAUUGCAGUAAAAUCCAUAAUUCUGUACUCAGCAACGAGUCAUGCUGAGCCGAAGGUUAGAAGUAUAUAUAAUAAGAAUCACACUAGGAGAUACAAUUAUAUUCGCCCUUGGAAGCGACAUGUAAUAUUACUAUAGAAAAAUGGUGUUAAAUUCCAUACUCAGCA